AUAUAUUAAAAGAAAGUACUAUUUUAGAACAAGGCAAAACUCUAAUAGAUCCAAAAGUGGAUGUACACAGAGGAUUACAGGUUGUGGGGUCACAUCCUUACAGUUGGGAGAAACCUUACCAUUAAUAUCUCAAGACAUGGAUACCACAUUGUAUUGCUUACCUCUUGGAGUGUGUACUGGUAUUUGCACCAUUUAAUUUUCCUGCAAUGAUACCAUUUUGGAUGCUUCCUCUAGCAUUGGUAUGUGGUAAUACCAUGAUUCUUGCACCAUUGGAAAGAGAUCCAGGUGCUGCAAUGAUUUUAAUGAAGUUAACAAAAGAAGUUGGUAUACCUGAUAGUUGUUAAUGUUAUUCAUGGUGCACAUGAAGGGUAAAUAUGUCUAUGAACGAGGCUCCAAGAAUGUCAAACGAGUGCAGUGUAAUAUGCUUGUAGGUGCAGCAGGUCAGCCUUGUAUGGCCUUAUCAACAGCUGUUUCAGGUUUUACAGAAAGAUCUUGGACCUGUCAUAUCACCUGGAAGCCAAAAAGAGAAUUUGCAAUUUAGUUGAAUCGGAAGUAAAGGAGGGUGCCAAAUUGUUGUUGGAUGGAAGAGGCAUUGUAGUUCCAGGUUUUGAAAAAGGAAACUUUGUUGGUCCGACUAUUCUUUCUGAUGUGAAGCCUUUGAUGAUGCUAUUAAUCUUAUUAAUUGUAAUCCUUAUGGAUAUGGAACAGCAGUGUUUACUGCAAAUAGAGCUACAGCAAAGAAAUUUGUGGCAGAAAUUGAUAUUGGUCAAGUUUCAGUUUCUACACGCAGCUGAAGAUGAUAACCCAGUUGGGGAGAGAACAAGAUGCUACUGAUUCUAAAGUAACAACGAGCAUGCCAGUCAUGAAGUGAAUAACAUGAAGUGCUAAUAUAUCUUCC